rnacentral:rRNA from 1 species
UACGUAGGGGCCGAGCGUUGUCCGGAGUUAUUGGGCGUAAAGGGCGCGUAGGCGGCCUUCUAAGUCGAACGUGAAAUCCCCGGGCUCAACCCGGGAACUGCGUCCGAUACUGGAAGGCUUGAAUCCGGGAGAGGGAUGUGGAAUUCCAGGUGUAGCGGUGAAAUGCGUAGAUAUCUGGAGGAACACCGGUGGCGAAGGCGGCAUCCUGGACCGGUAUUGACGCUGAGGCGCGAAAGCUAGGGGAGCAAACGGG